UGUAUGGAAUAUAGUCAUUACAGAGUGAUUUUCAGCUUUUUUGGCUCUACUAUUGAAUUUAUUUGUAAAAGCAUCAACACACUAUUAUCUACUAAAAAAGAAAUAGUUCUGCAUUCGAUUCUUAGCCAUUGUGGAUUAUGGGAAAAUAGAAAAGCAGUAACCUCGCUAAACCGGCAUAUAUCUCUUAGCCCCUACUGAUUCUCCUGCUAUCCUGAAAAACAAAAAACUGAAAAUCAAUGAACGACUUUUUACCGAGCAAGCUAGCAAUAUCUUGGUGCUUCUUGGGAGAACCUCUUUGCAUAAUGUGUCACUUUCUAGGCUUAUCGGGGGGCUUCGUGAUAGGCUUGUAUUCAUGCUUUCUUCCCUGGAGAUCUCUUUUUUUGUGUAUUUGGCUGCUAGUUAUAUUUCACGUUAUAUUAUUACGUUUUUAGUUAUAUUUCACUUUUCUACUACAGAAAUUUUUGUCUUUUGUUGUAUGUAUUGCUGUUUAAAUAUUUACAGUUUUAACUAAGUUUAUCACUUAUUAUUACAGGAAGAUGGACACUCUGACUGGGUAUCAUGUGUGCGAUUUUCACCCAACAACAACAAUCCAAUUAUUGUUUCCUGUGGCUGGGAUCGUUAUGUUAAAGUGUGGAAUCUGACUAACUGCCGUCUAAAAA